UUUGAUGUAUGAAAUGGGAUGGUAGAAAUUACAGACCAGAUUUCCAGCUCCAAGGGUGCAGAAGCCAUUGAUGAUAUCUACAAGAACAAGUGCAGUGAUGACACCAUCAUGUAUGCAUACUGACUCUUCCUCCACUGGUAUUUCCUUCUUCAAAAGAUCAACUGCGUUCACCGCCACCAUUUUUGAUAAAUGAAAUUGAAAUGAAUCACUGAUGGUAUGUUUUGAGUAAGAUAGACAAAAAGAAGCGGGUCCUACCUUAAUUUGGAAAUAUGUGAUACGAGAUUGAAAUGGUUGAAUUUUGUGUCAUUUAUUUGUCAUGUAUGCAAAGUGUUCAAAAAUCCAAAUCGUUUACGGAAUUAUGGUGCCGUAACGUAUUUGA
rnacentral:lncRNA from 1 species